CGAGCGGUAGGGUCAUUUCGGGGGUACACGAGCGGCGAACGGGUGAGUAACACGUGGGUGAUCUGCCCUGCACUUCGGGAUAAGCCUGGGAAACUGGGUCUAAUACCGGAUAUGACCAAAGGCUGCAUGGCUUUUGGUGGAAAGGUUUACUGGUGCAGGAUGGGCCCGCGGCCUAUCAGCUUGUUGGUGGGGUAAUGGCCUACCAAGGCGACGACGGGUAGCCGACCUGAGAGGGUGACCGGCCACACUGGGACUGAGACACGGCCCAGACUCCUACGGGAGGCAGCAGUGGGGAAUAUUGCACAAUGGGCGAAAGCCUGAUGCAGCGACGCCGCGUGAGGGAUGACGGCCUUCGGGUUGUAAACCUCUUUCAGCAGGGACGAAGCGAAGUGACGGUACCUGCAGAAGAAGCACCGGCCAACUACGUGCCAGCAGCCGCGGUAAUACGUAGGGUGCGAGCGUUGUCCGGAAUUACUGGGCGUAAAGAGCUCGUAGGCGGUUUGUCGCGUCGUCUGUGAAAACCAGCAGCUCAACUGCUGGCUUGCAGGCGAUACGGGCGGCUUGAGUACUGCAGGGGAGACUGGAAUUCCUGGUGUAGCGGUGAAAUGCGCAGAUA
rnacentral:rRNA from 1 species